GUGGGGAAUAUUGCACAAUGGGCGCAAGCCUGAUGCAGCGACGCCGCGUGAGGGAUGACGGCCUUCGGGUUGUAAACCUCUUUCAGUAGGGAAGAAGCGAGAGUGACGGUACCUGCAGAAGAAGCGCCGGCUAACUACGUGCCAGCAGCCGCGGUAAUACGUAGGGCGCAAGCGUUAUCCGGAUUUAUUGGGCGUAAAGAGCUCGUAGGCGGUUUGUCGCGUCUGCCGUGAAAGUCCGAGGCUCAACCUCGGAUCUGCGGUGGGUACGGGCAGACUAGAGUGAUGUAGGGGAGACUGGAAUUCCUGGUGUAGCGGUGAAAUGCGCAGAUAUCAGGAGGAACACCGAUGGCGAAGGCAGGUCUCUGGGCAUUUACUGACGCUGAGGAGCGAAAGCAUGGGGAGCGAACAGGAU
rnacentral:rRNA from 1 species